rnacentral:rRNA from 1 species
UACGUAGGGGGCUAGCGUUGUCCGGAAUCAUUGGGCUUAAAGGGCGCGUAGGCGGCGGCGUAAGUUGGAAGUGAAAUCCCAUCGGCUCAACCGUGGAAUCGCUCCCAGUACUGCGUCGCUCGAGGGGGAUAGGGGUCUGCGGAACUACCGGUGGAGCGGUGAAAUGUGUUGAUAUCGGUGGGAACGCCAGUGGCGAAAGCGGCAGACUGGACCCUUCCUGACGCUGAGUGCGCGAAAGCUAGGGGAGCAAACGGG